GGGGACGUAGUUUAAUGGCAAAAUUCCUCUCUCCAAAAGAGGAGAUCAGGGUUCGAUUCCAUGCGUCCCCGCAA
rnacentral:tRNA from 2 species